UGUAUCUCAUGUGUAUUUUAUAACUGUUCCAUUUUUUGUUUUUUUAUUUUUAUUUUUUUUAUCUUGAUUAGGUUCUUAUUAGUUGAAACUAAAGGAUAAUGGCCUUCGUAAUGAUUUUCCUUAUCUAAAUCUGAAAUUAUAUGAAAUUGGUUAUGAAUUAUGAACUACAUUGUACAUCAUUAGAUUUAAAUAGUUAAGUUGUUUACAUUAGUUAUGACGCAGGAAGAACAGUGAACAAGGUUCUUGAUUAGGAUGUAAGAUACAAAAUUGCAUUAGGUGCUGCAAGGGGAGCAUCUUAUCAUCAAUAGACUGCAUUCCUCAUAUAGUUCAUAGAGACAUCAGGCUGAGCAAUAUAUUAUCAGAUCUUAAUAUAGAGGCUUGUGUUUCUAAUUUUGGGUUAGCUGACACUCAUGGAGCAAGAUAAGACCCAUUGUAUCCACUUUAUUAGCUGGGGCUUUAGGUUACUUAGCCCCUGGUAUGAUCUCACUACACCUAUUACGAACAUAAAGGCAUUAUCUUUGGAUAUCAGUAAAGGUUGCAAAAAUAGGUAGGUCAAGCAGGUUGGAAAACAAAUCCAAUUUGGUUUAGGUUGAAACAUGUAAUUCUUUUUAAUAUCAGUUAAAACAUACCAGAUUAGGUUGGUUGACAUAAAAACAUACUUUAUUAAUUAGGGUUUCGGACACUAUCAAUUUGGUUCUAUACUUCUCUAAAUUUUAGAGAAAUAUAACGGUUUACCUGCUACCUUCAUGAACUAUAUUAAACACAUAGACUUCUUUGGUGCGGUCACCAGGUCAUGUACAGAAUUAGCUUCCUUUAUGGAUGGUGUAUGGAAUUCUUCACGACCAAUAUGGAGAGUUUUUUAUAUGCGAGCAAUAAGGAGACUCAAAGCGUGAUUCAACAUCCCUCACAAACAUGGCCGAGAGGUUAACUUGCAUGAUAUGUUGCGAGAAUAUAUUCCAAUGCACAUGGCAUAAUCUGUCCUUUAUGCUGCAGAAGCAAUUAGCGUUCUUCAUAAUCCAAGCUCUGCAUUCUACUGUGUAGACACAAUACAUAAAAAUUGAUGGGUGAUGAACUACUGCCACAAUCAGAGGCUGCUAAGAUUGGAUCAUUGCUUAUCUAGGCGAACAAAGAAAUAGAGGCGAGUUACUCAAUUACGAGAGAUAUUGAACCAUACAUUGCCAAGUAAUAUGAAAAUAAGAGAACUUUGGCUGACUAAAAGAGUCAGACUUGACAAAGACGAUGUACAUGCUUCGGUUCGAAAUAAAACUGACUGCUAUGAAUGGAUGAUUUAUACCAGGAGCCUCUAGCAGCAUUGAAAGCUAGAAUUGAAAAGGAAGGAUCAAAAGCAGUAUUUGCUCCAUUGAUAGAGAAAUAUAUAUUAAAGAAUCCUCACCGUGUAAUGAUUGAAAUGCAGGAAAAAGACCCGGGGAUAAAGUGUUUUCUUGCGGACCCACCUGUUCACUGUUUGUUUAACAAGGUUACAAGCGGAGUGAUGUACACAAAAGAAGAGGCUGAAAGAAAGAGAUUAAAGUAUCCAUUUGAUACUAUAACCGAAGGAAUUGGGAUUAAUAGAUUAACAAAAAAUUUUAAAAUCGCUCAACUUGGUGGAGCUUUUAAAGGUACUGUAUUGAAGCUGUUGAAAUGUCUAGAUUCCUGUUGAAGAAUGAUGGGCUUUUUAUUGGAAGUUCUUCAGUAAUGAACUAUGUUGGAACAAUGAGACUAGCAAGAUUAUUGGGCCCGGGUCAUACUAUUGUAACAAUUUUGUGUGAUAGUGGGAUGAGGCAUUUAAGCAAGUUCUGUAAUCUCGAGUACCUUUCUCAACACGGUUUAACACCUUCAGCUAAAGCGUUAGAAUUCCUUGAUUGUAGAUGAUAUCAUUUUUCAUAUGCGUGACGUUUUGUAUCGUGCACGGGGCAGUAUUGAGUUUCAAACAUGUCUGCGAUGAUUGGAUCGACUGUUUUUUUUUACAAGGGAAUGCACUUCUACUUAGAAGGUUACAUAUAUUGUUUGUUAUUUAUGAGGUUUCUGUAAGUAUUCUCUUUUUUACACUAAGGUCACUCGUGGGCAUAUAUAUUGAAACGGUUUUUUAGGUCAUCUAAGUAUGUGCUAGGUUCUCAAAAUGCGACCAGAAACAUGUAAGAUUCCUAGAUGCUGCUUUUUGUUAGAUUGAUAAAUUGCUUUUUUUACUCUUCUGUUAGCGAAGUGGGGACAUAUAUAUUCGGUACUUUCGCCAUCGGUACCCGUACUUUUCCGGUAAACAUUCUAUUGGUACCGAAUUUGAUAUGUUUUAUUCUCAAAAUUUAAUUAAUAGCUAAACCAUGUUAUCUAUGUCUAUGGGUAUGAACUACAAGCAUCUAUAUGCGAUUUGAUCCCGAAAGCGGGUUAUAUAUUCUGGGUAGGGGCGUGUAGUAAUGUUUUGUAUAAUAUUUUAACAAAUGCAUUUCUAUUUCAGUUUCGUCUCCAAGAACUGACUCAUUUUAUUUUCUUAGUUAUCGUUAAUUUUUCACUUUUUUUUCUCCCGACAGGUAACAGGGCAUGAAGUUGAUAAUUCAAGUAAGUUUCCGUUAGUAGUGAGCACGUGGCAUUACAAACUUCAUCCCAAUGCCAAUAAAAUGAUGAGAUUGUACUUUAGUUACUUGGGGUUGCAUGUUCUUGCAUGAUAUUGUUUUUCAUUUAAGGGUUUAAUGGUUGUGAUAUGACCAAAUGUCUAUGUACAGUGUAUUUAGCACGUAAGCAAAUUUGGAUAAAAUAAAAUAUGUUAUUCAGUUGUUUUUGCUUAUUUCACGUUUUUGCUUUUUUAAAAUAAAAAAUAUUUUUCAGUUGACCCUUCUCAACAAAAUACGACUCUAAUUAAUCAUUUUCAUUAUUACAUCCAUUUUUUGCUUGCCCGUUGUGUUGUUCAGUGAAAAGUUUGCCUGUUCCAGUUAAGAAUUGUAGUUGACGGGUCAAAUGAAAUAGUGCCAUAGGGAAUUUUUUUCCAAAACAAAGUCUAUAGUCAAACCGGUUACCAACCCCAAAUAAGGUGUGCCGGGUCAAUAGGGUAUAAGGUAUUUAAUGCAGUUGCAGCUUAGAAAAGUCAGGUUAAGUUCCCCUACUUUUCAAAUUGCUCUCCUCAUAUCUGAUUGAUCUUGGGUGUUUUGUAUGCAAUGAACUAAAAAGAUGCAGGAUUCAACUAUGACGGAAGCAAUAAGUUAAUGGAUAGAGAGCUCUUCUAAGGUACUUAGUCAUAAUUCUAUCACUCCACAACCUUGGUAUAAAUAUGGGAUGGUCAAAAGCUUUUGGUCCAGCCGUCGAUCUCAUCAAUCAAAGUUCCACCACUCCUUCUCAUUGCCUUCGGUAUAAGGUAGUUGUUUACCAGUUAAGAUAACAGUUAUGUUGUGCUAUAUUAUUCAGCCAUGAUUUUUUAGUUAAAUGUAAUAUAUCAUCAAGGGAGAUAUUAAUACAUGUGUGUAUGUUAUAAUUUGUGAAUAUAAUAUGCAUGUUAAUAGCAUGUGUUGAUGCAAAUGAAAGAGAUCAUAUCAGAUCCAAUCAAACUGGUACACAAUCCACAUCUCUUCAUAUCUUUGUUUUUUUGUUGUUAAUUUAAGAUGUUCUAAUAUGAUUCUAGGGAAUGUAGGUUUUAGUAUAUACGUUAAUACUUUGAAAUCAUACAAGUACCCGUUACAGGGUAUAGCCGUAUAGCGUAGGCUCUUAAAAAUUUAUGUUGGAAGUAUGUUUUCUUGAGCAAAUUUUGAUUGAAAACCAUCAAUCUUGACAUAUUCUUUCCAAAUCACUAUUUUUUGCGAUUCUUUUUUUCGGUAUCUUUUGCAUUAUACACAAGAAUAAUGGUAUGUAUGCAAUGAAAAGUCAAGUCAAGUUUUAAUAGCCAGUAAUCUAAUAAUUUUGGAAUCAAACUUAUUUAUAGAAACGAUGCUACUUUUGUGUUUGACUUUGGAAGUCAAACCUACUAAGUUUUCAUAUUCUGUUAGAGUUAAUUGCAAAUACAUCACUUAUAUAAAUUAUUUUUAUAUUUAAUAUUCAUUAUAAAACUAGAUGUUGAAUUCAUAUAAAUGCUAUAGCCUAUAACUGAACCCAUUUGAUCUCAUAGGUCAAAAGUGUUUUAAAAGAGCUGGGGUUUGACCAAGUCAAAUCCUGUAAAUUAAAAAAACAAAUGAUAGUUAUCAUAUAAAUUUCAGGGUCAAAACUAAUUACUUACCAAAUAAUCGCGUUACAGCUUUUACACAUCUAUGUGGUAACUUCUCCACAUUUUUCAAUAUUUUUAACAAAUAGUUAAUCCAUUGUAUACGGUAUACUAAAACUAUAUUAGUUCAAUACUUAUUAGAACUUUUAAAAUAAAAUCAUUUAGGAGGUUACAUUCAAACCACUUUUUGCUAUUUUUGACCCUUUACAUUUUAAGUUAUUUUUUAUACCUUUUUGACCCAUUUUGACACUUUAGGCUUACUAUACUCCUUAAUGCUGAGGAUCAAUGAUAAAUCAUGUAUGGUUCCAUUAGAAAUGCUUAAAAAUAAAAGGGGUUGGCAAUUAGAUUUUGUUCUUAUUUAUAUUUGUUGCUUAUAGAGAGCCUUAUAUUUUUACGGAUGAAUUGCAAAUGCAGUUGCAAAAAGAAAGGCAAAAUUUGACCCCUUUUUUUUAUUAAUGGGCUUAACGGUGCAUGCUUUGUUUCAAUGAUUUAGUUAGCAAUGUUAUAUGAGGUGAAAAUUGAAAAAUCUUCACUCAUGUUAGGGAUAUCAAAUUUUAGGUGUUUGUUAAAUCAAAGAGAAGUUGCACCUGCUCUGUUUGAUGUGUCGGACCGUGUUGCACCAACGGACUGGGCUCCUAUUAAUUUUUGUAAUUGUAAAUUAACAUCAACUAAUAUAAUACAUGUUUUUUAUUAAAUACUUUUCUUAAAGGGUCAAAUGCAGUUCUUUGUCUCCACCAUGCCCUUGCCCAUCUUGGAUUGUCAGUUGUUCUCCAUUUAAUGAAUUCCCUUUGGAAGCUGAGCUAGAUGUAUAAAGUAUGAAACAUUUGAAAUUCUUGAAUUGUACGGGCCUCGGAUUAACUGUACUGUUUGGAUCAUGGAUUGUAACUGUAUACACAUUAUAGCAAAUGGUUGAGAUGCAUGAGACAGGAAUGUAACUGUACCAUUGUGUUUUUUUAUUAUCGUCAAUCCUGUUAUAAGUUUUGGUUGUAACUGAGAUUUUGUUGCUUUUCUUGCUUUUUUUUUGGUUGUCGACUUUACGACAACAAAACCUGCUUGGAUUCAAUGGUUCAAACGAGAUAUUUGGUGAACGAAUAUGGUGGCCGGUAGGAUGAAAUGACAGCGGCUACAACUAGCGAGGAGACAUGGAGGAGUACUGCUACGAUGGGCCAGCCGUGAUUGUUCAGGUUUUGUGUUCGACCAGUUUGAUCCUCCUAAAGUUCUUUGAGUGAUUGGAUGGCUUUUGCAUGCUUAUAUUUACUCUGUUUGAGGAUGGAGUGUGCACUAAUGAUGGUAGUGCAUUCGAUAUUAUGUAAUUCUCAAAAUUAGCAACCUCUCCUUGGCAAUUUACCUUGAUCGUUGUUUCUCAUAUGGUGGUUGUUCCUCGACGAUCGUUGCAACCACUUAUCCGUCUCUGCAUAGAAUUCUAGAUUAAUAUUCAUAUCACAAGUGGCUUGGGCUUCAUAACCCGAGCGCGGCCUAUCUCCGUUGCCUUUCAUAAACCCUAAAUUGGAAUCGGGCGUACUCUUAUCCAGAUCGGAAUGUGAUGGAUUUCGUUAGUGGGAAAGUGUUUAGUAGUCCGAGAGCUGAUGUGGCACAUUGUUUUACAUUUACCGAGGUUGCUAUCGCAACACAUAACUUCAAGAGUGCUAAUUUGAAUGUAGAAGGUGGAUUCAUUCAUGUUAAUAAGGGCCAUUAUAAUUAAGGGAAAUUUGAGCAACAUGUUGAAUAUGCUCUUGAUGUAUAUAUGGAUUUCGUCUAUCCGAAAAAAAAAGUAUAUCAGUUGUGCUGAGGGAAUUCCCAGCAUGAAAACUUGCUCCACUUCCAGGUGAAUAUGCAACUCUCAAUGAUUGGGAAAAUCAUAUCACUACAAUAUUCCAUGAGCUUGAGCUUGAGUGGUCAAACUAACGGGGCGCUACACUGGAAAGCUUUACUAAAACUAAUAUGCAAGUGAAUUGUAUUGGUUUUGACCUGACCCGUUUCAACAUGUAGAAUUUUAAAAGGUUGGUUCUAAAUAAGUGUAUAAAGAAGUCUUUUAACGACUUGUGGUGUAUA